rnacentral:rRNA from 1 species
AUUGAACGCUGGCGGCAUGCUUUACACAUGCAAGUCGAACGGCAGCGCGGGCUUCGGCCUGGCGGCGAGUGGCGAACGGGUGAGUAAUGCAUCGGAACGUGCCCAGCAGUGGGGGCUAGCCCGGCGAAAGCCGGAUUAAUACCGCAUACGACCUGAGGGUGAAAGGGGGGGACCGAAAGGCCUCGCGCUAUUGGACGGGCCGAUGUCGGAUUAGCUAGUUGGUGGGGUAAAGGCUUACCAAGGCGACGAUCCGUAGCUGGUCUGAGAGGACGACCAGCCACACUGGAACUGAGACACGGCCCAGACUCCUACGGGAGGCAGCAGUGGGGAAUUUUGGACAAUGGGGGCAACCCUGAUCCAGCCAUGCCGCGUGCGGGAAGAAGGCCUUCGGGUUGUAAACCGCUUUUGUUCGGGAAGAAAUCCUCUGGGCUAAUACCCCGGGGGGAUGACGGUACCGGAAGAAUAAGCACCGGCUAACUACGUG